rnacentral:rRNA from 1 species
AUUGAACGCUGGCGGCAUGCUUUACACAUGCAAGUCGAACGGUAACAGGCCUUCGGGUGCUGACGAGUGGCGAACGGGUGAGUAAUGCAUCGGAACGUGCCCAAUCGUGGGGGAUAACGUAGCGAAAGUUACGCUAAUACCGCAUAAGCCCUGAGGGGGAAAGUGGGGGACCGCAAGGCCUCACGCGAAUGGAGCGGCCGAUGUCAGAUUAGCUAGUUGGUAGGGUAAAGGCCUACCAAGGCGACGAUCUGUAGCUGGUCUGAGAGGAUGGCCAGCCACACUGGAACUGAGACACGGUCCAGACUCCUACGGGAGGCAGCAGUGGGGAAUAUUGCGCAAUGGGCGAAAGCCUGACGCAGCCACGCCGCGUGAGUGAUGAAGGCCUCGGUGUAAGACUCUGUCGGAGGGAAGAAGGGGACGAACCCGUCGACGGUACCGUCGCAA